rnacentral:lncRNA from 1 species
AACAGAGAUAAACUAAGGAAAGGAGUCUGCGUGUGCCCUAGGCGCCAUGGAGCCCGUCCUGGCUGUGCUCUGCACUUUCUGCGGCCUUGGCAGGAAUUCAAGAGCUCGGGCCCCACCCUCGGGCCGGGAAGCUGGGAACCAGAAUCUGCAUUCCAGUGAGGUCUUUCUGUCGGCUGGCAGCCAUUCUGAGCUUGCGACACAGUCCCAGAGGUAAGAGAAGCCUCCCGAUGACAGCCCCGGGCAUGUGGGGAUCCUCUCCUGGAGAGCCACGUGUGGCCUCAGCUCAGCAGGACGUGCACGAGGCUCGAGGGGAGCACGUGGGUGGUGCGGCGCAGAGCUUGCGCCCUCGCCUCCGUGGCUCUGCUGCGGUGGUGGGUGGAACACCCACUCUCAUUGACAAAAUCUAAAAGGGAAGGAGUAGGACAGGCUGCAUCUGCCUCGCCCCCCAGCCCAGCCCACCGUCUGAAUCACGGUGGCUCUUGGACCGCAGUUCCUGCGUCGACGGGGACACUUCGUGCUGGAAGGAGAAGAGCUGCAGGUGUGGCCGCCCCCUGCUUCCCUCCAGCGUGCUCACUUACCUCAGCUCUGCCGUGGACUCCGUGUCUAUUUUAGGCCGGCUAACUCAGCCAGCACUGACUAAUCCUCAGCUCCGCGGUGGCACCCACCUUCCAAAGCUCUGACAUCCAACUUUCAUCAUCUCUCCUGUAUCCUGUUUAUAUUUCCGCUCUGAAAAAGUGAGAAGAAAAAAAGAAACAUUUUCGGAAAGUGUCGUGAUGCUGCUGAGGCUGUGGUGGACCACAGUGGUUUUCAAAAGGAGCAGCCCAUGCAGAUCUUCCAAGAUCCUGUUAGAAUGCAGUCUCCGAUCUGCACAGGAUGCGGUUCAGAUCCUGCUUUUCCAACAAGCUGGCGUGGGUGCUCUCUGCACCCUAACCGAUUACAAUGGUAAUCAGUUGAAAAAUUGCAUGCAGCCAAAAAGGAAAGCUAUCACCAAGGACAUACGUGAGGCCACGUUGUGUUUCCCUUCGGAGUCCACUCGGGCGUGGAAAGUGCACAUGAGUAGCUCCAGGACAUGCGGACACUUCCUCCUUC